rnacentral:rRNA from 1 species
GACGAACGCUGGCGGCGUGCCUAACACAUGCAAGUCGAGCGAAGUGUUUAGGACUGAUCCCUUCGGGGUGACGUCUUAAACAUCUUAGCGGCGGACGGGUGAGUAACGCGUGAGAAACCUGCCUUUCACAAAGGGAUAGCCUCGGGAAACUGGGAUUAAUACCUUAUGAUACUUAUGAUCCACAUGGAUUUUAAGUUAAAGCGUAAAGCGGUGAAAGAUGGUCUCGCGUCCCAUUAGUUAGUUGGUGAGGUAACGGCUCACCAAGACAACGAUGGGUAGCCGGCCUGAGAGGGUGAUCGGCCACACUGGAACUGAGACACGGUCCAGACUCCUACGGGAGGCAGCAGUGGGGAAUAUUGCACAAUGGAGGAAACUCUGAUGCAGCGACGUCGCGUGAACGAUGAAGGCUUUCGAGUCGUAAAGUUCUGUCCUAGGGGACGAUAAUGACGGUACCCUAGGAGGAAG